rnacentral:tRNA from 1 species
GGUUAGAUGGCCGAGCGGUCUAAGGCGCCACGUUAAGGAGAUUAAACACUUAAUUCAAUCAAUUGAUUCCGUGGUCCGAAAGGGCGUGGGUUCGAAUCCCACUCUAAUCA